AUUUGCUUCGGCUCGCUCGUCGGAUAGGUCGAGGCAAAUCUGAGUUGAUCCUGCCCUCGCUUCACAAGCAGGAUGUAGAGUCGUGAUCAGCCAGUAAGCUAAGAAAGGGGACAAUAUAACACGCAAGAAAACAAAAGAUAAGGAGGAGGAAAGCAGAAGCAUAUAUUUGAAAAUCAAUAACCGCACGUAAUGGUAAGAAUUAAAUAAAUUCAACAAUAUCAAAUGAAAAAAACUGACAAAAUAUUUGAGGGAAAUAAAUAAAAAAAAAAAAGGUAACCAACCGUUCACAAGUCUGUAUGAAACGUAGUAAUAAUUUUUUAAAUAAGUGAGUAGGUGCAGAGUGGUAAUUGAAUAGUUCAGUUGACUUGAAGCAAGAGGGUAAUUUGGGGAAAGGCCUUUCUGUAUCAAUAAACCCCCGUUCAUAUGUACCUUACCUUGGGUAUUCUACAAUUCAAGCAACUUACCUUGUGUCCGGUUUCACAAAAACAAAAUACAAUUAAAAAAAAAAUGCAAGUUAAUUAACAUGUGAACUAAUAAAAAAAAAGAUAAAAAAACUACUUUCGUGAGCUGUGCUCAACCACCGAUUUAUCAGUGGCUCUACUACACUUCUAACUUUCUGUCAAAUUCGGUACGUAACCGCAAAAAAAAUUAUAAUUAAAUCAUAAUAAAGUUUUAGUGCACAAAAUUUAAAUAACACAACAACAACAAGUAACUUAGGAUUUACAGAGAGGGAAUUAGGAAGUUCUCGAUACACGGGGAAGGAGAAAAAAAAAAUUGGAAGGAAUUAAGGAAGCAAGGAUAAGGAAAGUAAGUAGGUGUAGGGGGUCAAACCAUCUUCACUAAUGUAGGUCAACAAAUAAUAGUGUACAGCACACACAACGCUGACCUUUGGGCUCCUUUAAUGUACCCCUAAGUGGCUCUGGUGGUGCGGGAACUGAAGUUGGUGUAGGCGUCCAAAGACAGGUCGAUAUCACGGCUGAACACGGCGACACAAACGAAGAACAUAAAUCGGGCAGCGACAACACGUAGAAAACAAGUUUGAAGUAAAAUCGGAACAGAUACGGCUCCCAAGUUUCACAUAUACGAAGAAGCUAAAAGAUUAUAUUGCUAUAGACACGGGACUAAAAGGUCCGCAUAAAGCGAUAUGGAAUACUACCCAAUUGAGGCAACC